CCUUCGAUAGCUCAGCUGGUAGAGCGGAGGACUGUAGCUACUAUUCCUAGCAAGACAUCCUUAGGUCGCUGGUUCGAUUCCGGCUCGAAGGA
rnacentral:tRNA from 1 species